rfam:Camelus ferus unplaced genomic scaffold scaffold386, whole genome shotgun sequence.
AAGGGUAGAGCUCAGUAGCAGAGCACAUGCUUAGCAUGCAUGAGGUCCAGGGUUCAAUCCCCACUACCUCCA